rnacentral:rRNA from 1 species
AGUAACGCGUGAGGAACCUGCCUUUCAGAGGGGGACAACAACUGGAAACGGCUGCUAAUACCGCAUAACAAGGAGAGAGCGCAUGUUCUUUUCUUCAAAGAUUUAUCGCUAUGGGAUGGACCCGCGUCUGAUUAGCUAGUUGGUGAGGUAACGGCUCACCAAGGCGACGAUCAGUAGCCGGCUUGAGAGAGUGAACGGCCACAUUGGGACUGAGACACGGCCCAGACUCCUACGGAAGGCAGCAG